CAAUAGCGUAUAUUAAAGUUGUUGCGGUUAAAAAGCUCGUAGUUGGAUUUCUGCCGAGGACGACCGGUCCGCCCUCCGGGUGAGUAUCUGGUUUGGCCUGGGCAUCUUCUUGGAGAACGUAGCUGCACUUGACUGUGUGGUGCGGUGUCCAGGACUUUUACUUUGAGGAAAUUAGAGUGUUUCAAGCAGGCACACGCCUUGAAUACAUUAGCAUGGAAUAAUAAGAUAGGACCUCGGUUCUAUUUUGUUGGUUUCUAGAGCUGAGGUAAUGAUUAAUAGGGAUAGUUGGGGGCAUUCGUAUUUAACUGUCAGAGGUGAAAUUCCUGGAUUUGUUAAAGACGGACUACUGCGAAAGCAUUUGCCAAGGAUGUUUUCAUUGA
rnacentral:rRNA from 1 species